CGGUACAACCUUCUAGCUUUCCU
rnacentral:miRNA from 1 species